UUGUUUUCUUCCUUCUUGUUCUAGUUUUCUCAUGGAUCCCCUUCUUUCAUCUCAUAUAUUCAUAUCUUGGUGAUUGAUUUUACAGAAGUUAAAAGAACAAGCAUACAACAAUGUUUAAUUUUUUUUAAGAACCUUUAACUAAGAAACUAGCAUUGAAGCACAAAUUUUAGGUGUUUCUUAACAAAAGUUCUUAAAAUUAUAUUUAUUACUAAAAAAUUAUUAAGAACCCCAUUAAGGGUUUUAGGAAUAAUCAUGCUCUAAGACCCUGGUAUUUUAUCAGACGAAAGUUCCAGAAAACUCAAAACGUCGAUUGCUUCUCCGUAACGUCUCCUCCUUGCAUUGAUACGUUCUUUACUCCCAACUUCUGCGUGAUUAACCCACUUUUCCCACUCUGCAUCAUUCAAUUGACCUCAUCGAUGAAGCUUCGAGUACAAAUAUCCCAUCUUCCAGCGAUGAACAACACAACUUUGACUUAGCGGUUUUGACUUAACUCGGCAUGACGUCUCUCUCGCAGGUUAUGUAUCAGAGCCUUCUUUUUCAUCAGUUUAGAGUUGGAAGAUGAUUAUUUGUUUUUUUUUUGUUCUUGGUUUCAUAGAUGUUACUAGAUAAGCAAGCCAUGAAGACAAUUCUUCUAGAAAUUCCUUCCCUUGCCAGAUAGACGACUUCAACUGCUGCCAGCUACUGGGAAUUUGUGAGUGUGAAAUAAGCAGAGCUAAAGCACUUCUUAAGAUUCAGUGGCAGACACUUAUCAUGCAUUGUUUCCAGAAGGAACUCCCAUAGAGUUUCAACGCAUCUUGGAACUCAAAGGUCUUAAGAAAGCUGAUCAGCAGAUCAUACUUGAUGAUUUCAACAAGUAUGGCCCAGGGUUGACAUAGCCCUCUGUUUCAGGGGCAAUGCCACAAGUGGUUCAAAUUUACCUGCACUGCUGCUGGUAAUCACUAAUCCGGGUAUAGCAGAUGGGUUUAUAGCAAGCAAAGAUGUGUUAAUGAGGGAGCAGCUCUUGGCAGAGGAGCUGCAACCUCUGGCUUUAAUAAGUUCAUUGAACUUACCGAAGCAGCCAAAGACCUCAAAGAUGGAAGUUUAUCACAGUGAAUGCUUAACUCAUUCUCUCUCUCUCUCUCCUUUAAUAGGACAAACAAGCAUUCUUC